CCUCUUAUCUGCCUGCCAGCAAGACCCAGACACGGCCUGUCAAGGCAGAUUUGCCUGACAGAUGGUGAAAUCUUUCUGAGCUUCCAAAAUCUUAACUUAUUUUGGAUCCAUAUCCUUAUGAAGCCCCUAAAGCACUGAAAAACACUGCACAAACUCAAGACUGUGUUUCUGGUCAAUCAUUUGAGCUUGCAGAGCAGCAUUCCCUUGACCCUUGGGGAUAUCUACAGCUUGGUAUUUCUCCAUCCUCCAAAAAAGACAGGAAAAUAUUUAGUGAAGAAAAAAGCACAACAGAGGACACGACCUGCUCACAAACUGACCGCAAUUACACAAAAUGGCUGUGUUCGCUUCAUCUUCAUAAUUUCCAAUGAAGUUGUAAUUCCCAGUUGAGUAAGUGUCGGCAUCAACAAGGCUGAGAGGAAAUGGACAACGCCUUGUGCUAUUUAAAGACCAAAGUAUUCCAGGUCCAUUUUCAAAAUGUGCCUUCUUUACCAUGCCAAGCGUUUACCAAAAGUCCCUGGAGCAACCACCUGAUACCACACCAUGCCAGCCCUUCCGCUAAAAUGAGACAAACACCAGUACAUGUUGCACUGGUGCAUUUAAGAUCAAAUAUGCACAUGCUGAAUCGGCU
ensembl:lncRNA